rnacentral:rRNA from 1 species
UACAGAGGGGGCAAGCGUUGUUCGGAAUUACUGGGCGUAAAGGGCGCGUAGGUGGCCUUCUAAGUUGAACGUGAAAUCCCUGGGCUCAACCCAGGAACUGCGUCCAAGACUGGGAGGCUUGAAUCCGGGAGAGGGAUGCGGAAUUCCAGGUGUAGCGGUGAAAUGCGUAGAUAUCUGGGGGAACACCGGUGGCGAAGGCGGCAUCCUGGACCGGGAUUGACACUGAGGCGCGAAAGCCAGGGGAGCAAACGGG